CCUAUUUGGCAUUUAUUGUCCAGAGAGAGAGAGAAAAGGGUAACCUUGUCACACAUUAUCCUUCUCAGACUAUGAGAAGUAUUGUAGAAGGCACAUUUUCAGUACAGAAAUGCAGGCGAAGGUUGAAACUUUGGGAGUUUUCCACCAUUAUUGGAGCAGUGUGUCAGAACUAUCAUUGGACCCUUGUGAUUAUUGACUCUAGAAACAGGAUCCUAACAUUUCUUAAUCCAAAGCACGAGGGGAGAUCACAACUAGAUGAAAUUAAAAAGAAUUGGUG